CCCCUCUCAGGGUUGCACCUGGAGAGUUCUCAGUAUUCCACCAGUCUACUACAGGAGGAAGAGUCAAGCAGAGGCAUAUCCAUUCCAUUCCUAGUUUGGGCAGUGGUUAGCGAGUGGAAGACAGUCUGCUACAAAC
rfam:Ornithorhynchus anatinus chromosome 4, whole genome shotgun sequence.